UUUCUGGGCUCAACGGAGCUGGGAGGGGUCUUGGUUUAUACACAGUAUUGCCCGCUCUCCUGAAUUUCUUUAUAACCAGAGCCUCCACUGUUAGGAUUGCUGAAUGUCCGGAAGGACGGAACUUCAUUUGCCUUCAUAAAAAUGAAACUUAUGGGAGACUCGGUGGCAGAGAAAAUUGGAGGGGUGGUAGGUAUUUUCCAUCUAAUUACCAAAGAGCUUCUGGAUGAUCGGAAUGGUGUUUUCACUCUGGAACUGGACGAUUACGGGGCCAUGUGUCUGCCAGCAUUAACUCCAACCCCUCUGUUCAGGAUCUUCAUCAUCUGCCAGAAAUGGAUGAGAGAUGCUGUCUCCCAUUUCCUCCUAAGAAGUCCCUGAGACUGGUAGAAAGAUUGAAGGCAGCCUUGCAAGAGACUCCUGCAGAAUAACAUUGACCGCGACUGUUAUUGGAAUCGUAUUUCCUCAAGACUCAAUCACCAUUCAGGAACGAUUUCCUGGAACAGCCUCCUGCCUGGCUCAUUCCAAGGCUUCAUUAAAUUGUGCUAAUGAGUAGCUCA